rnacentral:rRNA from 1 species
CGAAAGUCUGAUGGAGCAACGCCGCGUGAGUGAAGAAGGGUUUCGGCUCGUAAAGCUCUGUUGGUAGUGAAGAAAGAUAGAGGUAGUAACUGGCCUUUAUUUGACGGUAAUUACUUAGAAAGUCACGGCUAACUACGUGCC